rnacentral:rRNA from 1 species
UACAGAGGGUGCAAGCGUUAAUCGGAAUUACUGGCGUAAAGCGCACGUAGGCGGAUUUGUAAGUCAGGGUGAAAUCCCGGGCUCAACCUCGGAACUGCCUUUGAUACUGCAAGUCUCGAGUCCGAUAGAGGUGAGUGGAAUUCCUAGUGUAGAGGUGAAAUUCGUAGAUAUUAGGAAGAACACCAGUGGCGAAGGCGGCUCACUGGAUCGGUACUGACGCUGAGGUGCGAAAGCGUGGGAGCAAACAGG